GAUGAACGCUGGCGGCGUGCUUAACACAUGCAAGUCGAACGAUGAAGCCCAGCUUGCUGGGUGGAUUAGUGGCGAACGGGUGAGUAACACGUGAGUAACCUGCCCUUAACUCUGGGAUAAGCCUGGGAAACUGGGUCUAAUACCGGAUAGGAGCGCCUACCGCAUGGUGGGUGUUGGAAAGAUUUAUCGGUUUUGGAUGGACUCGCGGCCUAUCAGCUUGUUGGUGAGGUAAUGGCUCACCAAGGCGACGACGGGUAGCCGGCCUGAGAGGGUGACCGGCCACACUGGGACUGAGACAGGGCCCAGACUCCUACGGGAGGCAGCAGUGGGGAGUAUUGCACAAUGGGCGGAAGCCUGAUGGAGCUACGCCGCGUGAGGGAUGAAGGCUUUCGGGAUGUAAACUAAGUUCAGUAAGAAUGAAGAUUAUCUGACGGUACCGUCAGAAGAAGCACCGACUAAGUACGUG
rnacentral:rRNA from 1 species